UGCGGGUGCGCUGAGCAUCUCCGCAGGGCCUCCCAGAGCUCUGCUGCGCGCUGCCUAGGAUGGAUGAUCCUAGGGCUGCGGAGGAUCCCCCCCUGCGGUCUCCCGGGGCGCGACCUCCUGUACCCGAACGGGGGACCUGUUUCCCGGCGGCCGCUGGGCGGGCAGGAAGCCGCGCAUUGUUCCCUGGCAGAGGCUGGAGGGGAGUUCCCGGUCUGCGUGCACUGGGGAGAAGAGAGCAGUGCCCGCCUGCAACACGCGCUCCGCUGACCCCUGGCAUCCGCUCUGCCCUGAAGCUCGCUCGCAGAUCUAGGCUCCCGUUUCUGCCGCUUCCUGUUCUUCCCAUGUUCUACUGUCUCUGGCCCUGACUUGGGAGCUCCAGGCUGACCUACAACCUCAGGUGUCUGAUUGUUAUCUGCCUUGGCUUUCCCUUGUGUGACUCUGGCCAAACUUCUUGUCUUUCCUGAGGCAGCAGGAUUCUUCUUCAAACAAGGGCCAACCUGAGAAGCUCAGGAUGGAUACGUCGCCAGCAAAGGUAGAAGGUGGCAAGGAAGGGGCUGAUGCCUGAGUUGUCUGUCCCCUGGUGGUGGCCCUGGACACUCCUGCAGAUCCCUAGUUUUGAAAACCCACUUUCUUGAUUUUUUUUUCCAAAAUAUUCUUUUCCUCC
ensembl:processed_transcript Gm13429 predicted gene 13429